rnacentral:rRNA from 1 species
UACGAAGGGUGCAAGCGUUAAUCGGAUUUACUGGGCGUAAAGCGUGCGUAGACGGUUAUUUAAGUCGGGUGUGAAAGCCCCGGGCUCAACCUGGGAAUUGCAUUCGAGACUGAAUAGCUAGGGUACGGUAGAGGGAAGUGGAAUUUCCGGUGUAGCGGUGAAAUGCGUAGAUAUCGGAAGGAACAUCAGUGGCGAAAGCGACUUCCUGGACCAGUACCGACGUUCAGGCACGAAAGCGUGGGGAGCAAACAGG